rnacentral:rRNA from 1 species
CCUACGGGUGGCAGCAGUGAGGAAUAUUGGUCAAUGGCCGGAAGGCUGAACCAGCCAAGCCGCGUGAAGGACGAAGGUGCCAAGCAUUGUAAACUUCUUUUGUCAGGGGACAAACUCAGGCACGAGAGCCUGACCGAGGGUACUUGAAGAAAAAGCAUCGGCUAACUCCGUGCCAGCAGCCGCGGUAAUACGGAGGAUGCGAGCGUUAUCCGGUUUUAUUGGGGUUAAAGGGUGCGUAGGCGGGCUGUUAAGUCAGAGGAAAAAGGCCGGGGCUCAACCCCGGCGAGCCGUGGAAACUGGCUGUCUUGAGAUGUCGAGAGGUAGGUGGAAUGCGCAGUGUAGCGGUGAAAUGCGUAGAUAUUGCGAAGAACUCCGAUGGCGAAGGCAGCAUACCGGCGGCGAUCUGACGCUGAGGCACGAAAGCGUGGGUAUCGAACAGGAUUAGAUACCCGAGUAGUC